GAUGAAGAACACAGCGAAAUGCGAUAAGUAAUGUGAAUUGCAGAAUUCAGUGAAUCAUCGAAUCUUUGAACGCACAUUGCGCCCGCCAGUAUUCUGGCGGGCAUGCCUGUUCGAGCGUCAUUUCAACCAUCAAGCCCCCGGCUUGUGUUGGGGACCUGCGGCUGCCGCAGGCCCUGAAAAGCAGUGGCGGGCUCGCUGUCACACCGAGCGUAGUAGCAUACAUCUCGCUCUGGGCGUGCUGCGGGUUCCGGCCGUUAAACCACCUUCAUAACCCAAGGUUGACCUCGGAUCAGGUAGGAAGACCCGCUGAACUUAAGCAUAUCAAUAAGCGGAGGA
rnacentral:misc_RNA from 1 species